rnacentral:lncRNA from 1 species
AAUUGCUAGUCACUCCUAAAGCAACAGCAGAAUAGGAGCACUGGUUCUUCUCCUGGGUCACUGCAAGGGUAUCUGUCCAUUGUCUCUAAAGCAGAGCUCAUAGAGAGCACCUACAAGAUCACCAUCCACAAAACAUUGGGACAGAUGAAUAUCUAAUGAAUGGUUUUGAUAGACCACAGGUAAUGUCUCUUGUCAAAUCUUAUUUAUGACAUGGAGUCCUUCUUUCUUUAUACUCAGGUACCAUUUUGAAACUUGAAUUUUGUUUCAUAGAAAAAAGUAUAAUUGAACAUCAAAUAAGGUUUAUGAAUAAUUAAAAUGUUAAUGGAAAACAGUUUUACUGGAACAAGUCUAUAAGCAAUAAAAAUAGGGGGAAAGUGCCAUAUUAUCUUAUAGGUCGGUGUCACCAGAUGGUCGCCUUGCACUUGCAUAAGACAUUCCAGAAGAGUACAGGAGAGUAAUGAGGGGAAGAAGAUGAAUAAAAUGUAUUUUAAACAUUGAAAAUCUGGGGGGGCGGGCAGCGGGGAUUUAGCUCAGUGGUUACGCCGCCUGCCUUGCAAGUGGAAGGACCUGAGUUCGAUCCCUGGUAUCAAAAAAAAAAAGAAAAUGUGCUUGGUAAACAUUGAAAAUCAAUAUAUCACAAAACAAUCAGGUACAAAAGGAAACUUCAGCCAGGUGUGGUGGUACAUGCCUGUAAUCCCAACACAGGAGAGGCUGGUGCAGGAGGAUUGCCAUGAGUUCAAGGAUACCUUGGACUACAUAGUAAGUUAGGGCCAGUCUGAAAUGCAAAGUGAGACCCUGCCUCAAACUCCGCCCAAAAAAGGAAAACUUCAAAAACAUUGUGUCAUUUACAAAUGACAUCUUUGACUCACUAAAAAAAAUAUAGCUGGAAAGUAUAAUUUUAACAACAGUCAAUCCCUUCUAAGCAAGUUGAUACCUUACAUAAUAUAUAUGAAAGAUUCAAAUUCCUGCUUUCAUGAGGCUGUACUAUUAGUAGAACAAAUGACAAAUGCAUCUCAGAAAAGGAAAAUAGUCUUCAAUGGGUUCACAUGUAUACAGAACAUUAAUUGAUGAUAGAGCUGGUGUUACAUGUGUCUGGAGAAAAACAGAAUGUUUCAUUUAUGUUCAAGGAGAAACAUUUAUAUAUUUGGAAUCCUGAACUAUAUACUCUUCUAUGUAUAAUAAUUAAGUUACAUAUGGAAAAGGGAAAGAUAAACUUGAAUGCCUUCAGAAUUCAUAGUGAAAUAAAGUGUUUUCUCAGAAGGAAAUCAAGUAACCAUCAGAAUUAGGAGGAUAAAUUGAAAUACUGAUAGUCAUCAGAAAUAAGACAAAAUAUUUCCUGUGCACACAGUAUAAAAAUUUUGCUCAGGGGAUAAAGAGCAAUAAAUACAAAUCUUUAAAAACUGACUAUGACAUAUCUAACCCAAGAAAAAACACUGAAUAGAAAACAAGAACCAAAUCUGUUUUUGAGAAAAUCACCAAAAAAGAAGUGUGGAAGAACAUAAUAAGAAAGUAGACUUAUGCAAGAAUGGAGACUCAUGUGAUAUACUCUACACUCAUUUCCUUUACUUUGGAGUUGACCAGUGACUUCUUUGCAGUAUUCAGAGCGUACACUGUGCUAUUAUUCCUAGAGAUAGAUGGGAUUCUUUUCAAGUACUCUACACUUGAAAAAUCCUAAACCACAUGACCAAUGGAAUGGAUAAGAAAGUGCUUUUCCAUUGAUUCACAUAUCAGCACUUGUGAACAGUAGAGAAACAAAUCAAAGUAAAAAUAUUUCUCUUUGCAAUGUCUGUAGUACUCACUGAAAAUUCCAAGGGAAGAAACUAAAAGAAUAUGGUUCAUCAUAGAAAAUUACACAUGGCAAACUUGGGGAAAGUCACUAAAGUGCAAGAGUAACCAUACAUGGGGCAGCAGAGGUUGGAGUCAAGUAGGGUAUCAGUCACGAAUACUCUCAUCGAUUGCCCCAGGCCCAAUGAUGAUACUCCCAGAAUAUUUAUACUGUUGUUAAAUCACACCAAUGAUUUUCAAAAUAAAAUUUAUUGCCAAACAUUUAAACCCUAAAUUACCAUUAAGAAAGUACACAUUAAUAUAUGUGUUUCUUUUCAUAUAUAACAAGAUGAGACAUCACACAUUAGUCAGCAAUAAGCAAAGCAGCACAGUUGUAAACACGAGAUCCACAGACUGCCAGCAAGCAGUGGUCAAAUUGAAUAUUGCUCAUCAGGAGAAAAGGUUAGAUUGCCAGAUAAAGAGAACAGAUAUCAGAGCUGAUCAAUGUCUAGACGUCUGGGUUAUGGUGCCAAUGCUAUGCCCACCUGGACAGGAGUGGUUGUUACAGUGAAACUGAUGAGGACAAAUUAAAUAGCAAGCUAUGCAAAAAGUCACACUAGUCUAUCAUUGAUUCAACACAAUCUUCAGAAGCCAGAUUUGACAUUAUUCAAUUUGCACCUCAAAGUAAAUAAUGAUUACAGUGGUUAGAUAAGGAUGAAAAAGCAAUUCUCUAAAAAGAACAGUCCUCAAUAUAUAUACAGUAUCAAACUACAUGAGGCAAAGCAUGAAUGUGAAGGAAAAAAUCACUGAUUCACAACUAUGUCUGAAGAUUUAAAAUCAACUCUAUCUGUUGAUAGCUGAAGAAGGCAGAAAAAUGUGUAAUGGAACAGUUAAAAUUAACCACAUCAUGCUUCACAGGGAUGGAUUGGAUAUUCCAUAAUACUCCAUCAAAUUAACUACACACUACGCAGUCUUCUCAAAAUCACAAGAAAUAUUCACCUAAAUAGACCAUGUUCAGAGCAAUAAGAAAGAGCUUAGCUUUUAGGGGGCAAAACUGAAAUGUGUUAUGGACAUAUACCCACUCCCUACAAUGAAUGUAAUUAUUAUGUACUGCAAAAAUGGAUGAAGCAAAGUUGUAAAAAAGAGAAAACAACUUUAAUGUGUUCAAUGUAAUGGAAAUCAUGCAAAGUAGGUUCUCACACCUAUUGAAAUGAAAUUUAAAACCAACAGCAGAACUAUAUUUAAAAUAGUCCUAAGAAUUAGAGAUUAAAUCACAAAUUUUAAAGUAUACAUGCUUCAGAUGGAAGUCAUGAUUAAAUAUUAAGCAUUUCAUAAUGUAUUAAAAUGAAUGUAUGGCAUAUUAUCAUUUCAUGGGUCCAGAAAUAGGUGCUUCAAACCAAAUUAAAAACAAAAAAUACACAUAUCAGAAAAGAAUAAAGAUCACAGCAUCAGAACAUUAGAGAAAUAACAGCAACAUAAAAUGAAAAUCACAGACAAAAGGAAAUGGCAUUCCUCAUUAUCCAUGUAGAUUUUAGACAACAGAGAAAUUAUUAAAACUAUAUAAAGGCAUUUUUAAAUAGUUAAUGUAAUCAAUUACAAUAAAAUUUAGAGAACAAAAAUCAUAAAAUCAUGUCAAUGGAUGCAUACAAAACACAAGAAAAAUCAAAAAGUAAUAGGCAGAGAUUAAGGUGAAACACAUAAAAUUGUCUUCACUUGCAUUGGAAAAAUUAAAGUAUCAACAAAAACCUAAUAGAAUUACUAAAAUAUUGCACCACAGUAUAGCCAUAGCUGAAUACGCAAAAAUAUGCCACGUGAUUAUGUAUCAGGGAUGUACAAGUGAAGUGGAAAUUGUAAAUCUUACACCAUAGGCAGCGCUCACACAGACACAAGUUUAGAAACGUUAAAAAGCCCAUGUAUGGAAGGUUCAACACUAGAUCCAAAAAGUACAAGAUAAAACUGCAAAAAUAUACUCAAAUAUAUUACACGGACAAAUAUAAGUAAAUUAAACUAUUCCACUUGUUGGCAAAACACAAUAAACCCCUUAUCUAUAACAUAAUUGAAAGUUUAUGUAAGAAUUUUAUACAAAUUUUGAAUUUUUCACUACCUUCAUGCUGGCAUUUUUUCUUAUUCUAUCAAAAAUUCUAAUUCAUUAUCACUUGAAGAAAAAAAGUAGUAUUUUUAAUAUAUUAAAAAUUUAAAAACUAAUGCCAAAUUGAAAUAACCCAAGCCCCCAGGAAAUGGAAUAGGGAGUGAAGUGGCUGCAAUAUUAAUUUUCCUACAAUCCUAUGAGCAGAAGUUGACGUAAAGAAAUCACAAAUAAUCGUUUCACCACAAUAAUAAUAUUAACCUCAAUUAUUAACUUAUUCAAAAUUCCAAAUACUUGAAGCCACAUAUCAUUUUGCUUGAUGAGAUUGUUAAGUUCAAAAAAGCUCCCCAAAUAUCUAUCCUGUGGGCACUGGGGGUAGCUAGAGGAAAUCGGAGAGCUGCACUGGGAGGAAGCAUUAGAUGCAUCAUGAUUCUAUGGAUCUUUAGGCACAUUUUAUGGUAAAUGCAAAACAAAUAAUUUACUUCUAAAUUUUUAUGGACUUUCUUAGAAUCAAUUCUUCAUUUUUAAGUAGGAAAAUCACAAUCUUAUGGGUAAAUCAUGAAAAUCAACUCUUAAAUCCUUGAGGUAACUUGUAUUUUAUACAAGCAACUCUGCAAAACAAGCAAAAGAGAAGCUGGUUAGGGAAGAAACCUGCUUCAUUGCAGUUCACAAAAGCACCCACACUCAGAAGGUUGAACACACUCCUGAGGUUAUACACAACGCACUGUGCCCCUGCAGGCCAGGACAGCUCAAUCACAGGUGGAGAGACAGAGAAGUAUGAGAAGUCAAGAAAUUCAAGGAUGGGGCUUCUUCACAUCCUACUUAGCCAUCUUCACAGAGUGAAAUUUCAAGUCCUCACCCUCAAUUCUGAACAGAGAGAAACAUUUCCCACAAUCAGCUGAAGGCUGACCUUUGUCUUUCUCCAGGAUUUCUUUUGAAUUCAAAUGUGUAUUGUUUGCUGAGCUCUAAACAAUUCUCCAAAAAAAAAUAAAGGUGGGCCCCCAAUUAACACACCAUGGAGAGUGACCAAAACUUUUGACAAAUUCAAUGUGCUGCUCUAAUGCACUGUUUCAAGUGAAGAUUGGUGUCCAAAGCAGGUGAUGCUGUUUUUCACUAUUGUUAGACCCAGCGAGAGAGAACCAACCAGAGAGCGGUGUUAAAUCCACACAGGAGUUUAUUACCGGCCAGGACCUGAGCCGAGCAUCGGACUCAAGCCCCGACUGGGGGGAGACAGACAUGUUCUAUACACCUUUGAGGCCAGCAGUUUCCAGGACCCCUAUGGGAUAGAACUAGCAAAGCAAGCAAAAGAUUGAUUGGCUUCAAAAAUAAAAAAAAGAAUCUGAAUUCUGAAGACUUGCUGCUGGAAGCCUGAAAGUACUGGGGACCAAUAUCCAAAGGCAAUGGCAAAGACCAGAGCUCCUCCACAGAAAAAAAAGACAAUUCAUCCGUCCUUACUCCACCUAGGGUACAAGCUUACUGGUUGACGCAAACCUCAUACAGCACACAUCUUCCCUCCUUAGGCUGUGGCCUACACGCACAAACACUCAGGGCUUUACUAAAUCUGCUAGGUGGCUCAUACACCACUCAAGUGGACAUAUCACAAUUCAUGAUCACGAAUACCUAAGUUGAGUCUUUCUCUAAACUUGCCCUUCAUAGAUACUCUUCAGAUGUACAAAUUAUAGUAUGAUUCCAGCACAUCUUUGCAUGUAGAAGCCAAACAUUGUGCAAUAAAAGCCUCAAGGCAACCACAGUCACGACUUCAGAAAGAACAAAUCACCUGCACACGAGACAUCUGCUUCCUAAUACUCUGCACCUUGUCACGGUCAACAGUUCUUUAAACUGUGUUGAUUUAAAGCUUAAAAACAAUUUUUUCUCAUGAGAAAAUGAAGAUGGGAAAAAUUUAUUUUCACAGGAUAAAAUUUAUAGAAAAAGAGAUAAAAUGUGCAUUGUCUAUUUUUUCCUGUGCAUUGGUGAGUUCUUCACCAUUCUAGAUGUAUAUUGGCCCAAACUGCUCUGUGCCUAGAUAUUUACAUGCUGUUUUAUCUUUUUAAAACUACAGUAUUUCUUUACUCCCACACCUUUACUAACCCAUCUAGUCAUUUCUGUAAUAAAUUCUAAGCAUUUUAGAAGUUCCUCUCUAUUUCUGAAAGUAUAAUGAUCCUAAGGUUGAAUCCUCAUAAUGCUGAAUCAAAUCACUCAACUUAAAUUACUCAAUUGAUGCUGUAUUACAGGACAUAUGAUGACAUUUUGUGUAGACUAGGGACAUAUUUGUUGUGGCUAUUAUCAAUGUCCUGUCACACCAUCUGGAUUACAAGAACACACAUAGAAUACAAAAAUAUUUGGCCAUAUUCUAGAGAUUAUGAUCCACAGGCUUCUAAGACUCCUAAAUCUCCUAAGAAAAGAAGUAAUGAGAAAACUAAAGAAGCAAAAAAGGAAACAAAAGAACAGAUGGUAGAGAAAGUGAGGAAAGAGUCUGGAUAGUGAGAAAGAAGGAAUAUAGGGACCAAAGUGCCCCUUUAACUACACUCCCAGAAACAAAACUCUGAAGAAGAGUUGAUGGGUAAGGCUUUUUUCAUUUUGUUCUUCUGGUCCUCAUUCCUGAGGAUGAAUAUGAUGCAGUUUUGACCAUGGUGUGUCAGAUCUUUCAAAGAGACUCGGAUAUUUCCAAAACUGGGACAACGUAAAUGACAAAGGAACAGCCAGAAUGCUUGACAACCAGCAGAGCCAGAGUACUUGAAAACCACAGUGAGGUACACUGCACACAUGGAGAAGGGCAUCUGCUGUCCCUCAGUAGAGCAGAUCCUUAACUUGGAGGUCACAAUGAAGACACAGGAGAAUACAAUUAAGAUUAAACAGUCAAUGAGAUCUCACAGCCAGUAAGACUUCUUCUCCCUACAAUUCAACUUCAUGAGGAAAAAUGUGGCAGAGAAAAUCUUGGGUUACAUUAGACUCACAUAGGACAAGGUGGAAAACUAGUAUUGUCACCAAAAUGCUAUAACUGAACAUGGGACGUAUGUCAGGACAAAGCCCCAAGAUAGGCACUUUCACAAGGGCUGCUUGGCAUACUGUCACACAAAGGCAUGGAAAGGGACACACAGUGGGCUUACCCCCACAACCACGAGGAAGGGUUGUGUAGCAAAAGCUGAAGUGGAACAUGUGGUUAGCUCAGGCCAUACAUGUGAAGCAGCAGUGGAGGCACAGCACAGUAAUAUCACUGAUGGUCAUGCUGAGCACAAUUUCAGAGAUGCAGAAAGCAGUCAGGAAGAGGUACAUGGCUGUGUGUGGACUGUAUGCACUCUGGCAAGGAACUGAAGUGACAAUCAGUUUUCUAGUGUACAUUCCUCUCCCAGUGGGUUUGCAAGUAACUCCUUGCAGAGUCCCCUGCUGUGGAACAGGUGCAUCAGGAGGAAGACAGCUGGCUGGAGCUGCCAUGGGAGAACAAAGAAGCCAAGAGGAUGAACUGCAACCACAUGUAACAGUUCUGAAGGAGCACAGCUCUUGUGCCUGCUGAGAUCCAACACAGAAUGAAAACACAGUGGUGAAAACUUAGGUGGUUGCACAGCUCAAAUGGGAACUUAAUCACUUACCAGUCCAAUUAUUUAAAUACAGGAUGAUCCAAGAUUGCAUAUUUUUUGUGAAUUUUUAUAAGAUAAUAUAGCAGGAAAUAUGAAAAUGACAAUUUUAUCAAAUUUAUUCAAUACAAGAAUCAACAAGUUGAAAUGACUCCUGCUUGAGUGACGCUAGGGAUGGUAUGUAAACAAAAGUGCUGCCCACGUGAUGCUUGGAGGACACUGCUAAGUGGUUAAUAAUUCUAUAUGACUGCACAACAUGCUGGGUAUUUAUUACAGUGUCUCUUUCCUCAUCUAUUCAAAAAUAAUGGUAUUAACAUUCACCAUGGUGAUAAGGGUAAAACAAGAGCCUUAUAUUAAGGGCUUAAGCCAGAGUUUAGCAACUAGCUGGGUUUUCUUAGUACCGACUACAAGAAAGGGCAUGUGUUUACAGUCACUGUAGACAGGAAUUGAUGAUCAGGUUAUAACAAACCUACCUCAGAGUGCACAUGUUCUAGGAAACAUAUAUUUGUAUCUGGUUGGUUUGUAAAAUAUUUUCUCUGAGAGCCCAUCUUUCCUUGAUUAUUUAGAAUGUAUUGAUUUACGUAUGUUUCAAAUGUUCAUUAUUGGCAUUCACUGAAGACACCAUACUCCCUAUUCUAUGGAAAAUAAAGGGAUCUAGGGAUGCUUCUGCACAUUUGAAAUCUAGCUCCUAAGAAAUAUCUAAAGCAAAAGGAUCAUAAUUUUAAGAUAAAAAUGGGUAAAAUAUCAGGAGUUUGUAUUGCUAAGCAACCAACAUAAAAUACAUUGUAAAAUUCUAUGAAACUCAAGUAGUAAACAGCAUCAUGUCACUGAGAAAUAGGUAGAAAUAUCUAAAUCCUAAGUAGUGGACUAAAGUUGCAAAUUUUGACAGACUUCAGAAAUGCAAUGUGGGAAUUAUUUAUUUUAAUACAGUUUAUAAUAUUCACACACUACAUAUCAGAUAAAUUUCAAAUAUUUGUAAAAUACAAACUAUAUGUCUUGCCAAGCAAAUAGGCAACUUUUAAAAACCAUUUUGUUAGGAUAUGUGAAAUCUACUUUCAAUUACAAAAUAUAAAUAUUAGAUUGCUUAUAAUAAGGAAAACUACAAAUUACAGGGGAGGAACAGCUUUAGAAAUCUCAUAUAUUUUCUUUUCCAAGUGUAGGUGGAAGGAAUCAAAUAUCAUCAUCACAUGAAGGAGGUGCUCCACUACUGGACCAGAUUUAAAUUCCACCCAUGUUACUUAUACAAUGUACAUUAAAUAAUCUAGU